rnacentral:rRNA from 1 species
AUUGAACGCUGGCGGCAUGCUUUACACAUGCAAGUCGAACGGUAACACGCCGCAAGGUGCUGACGAGUGGCGAACGGGUGAGUAAUGCAUCGGAACGUGCCCAGUCGUAGGUGAUAACUACUCGAAAGAGUAGCUAAUACCGCAUACGACCUAAGGCUGAAAGCGGGUGACCGUAAGGCCUCUCGCGAUUGGACCGGCCGAUGUCAGACUAGGUAGUUGGGGGGGGAAAGGCUCACCAAGCCAACGAUCUGUAGCUGGUCUGAGAGGACGACCAGCCACACUGGGACUGAGACACGGCCCAGACUCCUACGGGAGGCAGCAGUGGGGAAUUUUGGACAAUGGGCGCAAGCCUGAUCCAGCAAUGCCGCGUGCAGGAAGAAGGCCUUCGGGUUGUAAACUGCUUUUGUACGGAACGAAACGGCUCUGGUUAAUACCCGGGGCUAAUGACGGUACCGUAAGAAUAAGCACCGGCUAACUACGUG